rnacentral:rRNA from 1 species
GACGAACGCUGGCGGCGUGCUUAACACAUGCAAGUCGAACGGAAAGGCCCUGCUUUUGUGGGGUGCUCGAGUGGCGAACGGGUGAGUAACACGUGAGUAACCUGCCCUUGACUUUGGGAUAACUUCAGGAAACUGGGGCUAAUACCGGAUAGGAGCUCCUGCUGCAUGGUGGGGGUUGGAAAGUUUCGGCGGUUGGGGAUGGACUCGCGGCUUAUCAGCUUGUUGGUGGGGUAGUGGCUUACCAAGGCUUUGACGGGUAGCCGGCCUGAGAGGGUGACCGGCCACAUUGGGACUGAGAUACGGCCCCGACUCCUACGGGAGGCAGGAGUGGGGAAUAUUGCACAAUGGGCGGAAGCCUGAUGCAGCAACGCCGCGUGCGGGAUGACGGCCUUCGGGUUUUAAACCGCUUUCGCCUGUGACGAAGCGUGAGUGACGGUAAUGGGUAAAGAAGCACCGGCUAACUACGUG